rnacentral:tRNA from 1 species
CCUUGGGUGGUGCAAAUGGUCAACAUGCUCGGCUGCUAACCGAAAGGCUGGAGGUUUGAGUCCACCCAAAGGU